rnacentral:ribozyme from 1 species
UGCUCAGCAACUCCUAUCCCUACCUCCUCGUGGUGCUGGCCGGGGUACGAGUAACCUUAGGGAAGAUCGGGUAACCAACCCCCGGUGGGAACUUUGGUCGUAUGCUGACAGGGAAGG